AUACAGUAAUAUGUAAUAUGCAAAAAUUAUUUUUAAGAAAAUUGAUUUUUAAUAAAUACUGUAUUCUUAAAAUUUCGGAUAAUAUUUGAUUCUAUAUACUUGAAAAUACUUUUAGACUUAUGAAAGGUUCAAAGUCUCAUUCAGAUUCUGCUCAAAAGGAUUGUUUUAUAUUUACGAAAUAUUCUGGUAUGUCAUUAUUAAAUUAUUAAAUAUUAAAUUAUCGUAUUGUUUACGUAUACUCAAUCCCAUCAUUAAUAGCAUCAAUUUAAUCAAGCAGCACAAGCGAUCGCUAGCCGCAUUUUUUGCAUCGGCUAAUUACAGGCAAGGUCAAACCGAAUGGCAGCAGCUUAGCUCAUGGAAAAAAAACGAAACACGCGUGUCACAAGCGCGCAAGCUGCACGGUGUUCGCGCUCGGCGUGCGUAGCCAACGGACCCCCAUAAAAGAGCAGUGCAGCUGUGUUUUUUUUCGAAAAAAUCCGUGCCGUGUGUGCGGGAGCAUGCGGUCGAUUCGACGAGACAGUCACGGAGAAGAGGAGGAGGAGGAGAAGGAAGAAGAAACAGAAGAAGAAGAGGGCAGGUAAAGAAGAAACAGAAGCGCGGAAGGAGAAUCAGAGGUAGAGAGAGGAAGGCGAUCGACGUGGAGAGACGAAGGCAAUGGAAAAAGAAACGAUUCGCCGCGGACAGAGGGUUGAAGAACGGGUUGAAGAAGCGGUGGAAGAAGGAGGAGAAGAAGCGGCGCAACAUGCCGAGGGUACCGGUCGAGGUGAAGGAGGAUAGCGAAGGGGCAAGGUGCUGCCAAGGUGGCGGUUAGGGCAGCUGAUCUUCGAAUAGCAGCAGGUGAAUGCGAAGAAGCUCGCGCUCGUGGAUGGAGCGAGACAGCCGAGAUGGUAGUUGCGGUAGAUGCGCCGCUGGCUGUGGAGGAGGAAGAGGUGGGAUCCACGCGUGCAUAAAAGGUGUUUCGUUAUUGUUACCAAGCGCGCGCGCGCUACCCGCCUCUUGGAUUUAUUAAUCUUAUUCGCCGUGGCAACGAGCUCCUCUCGCUACCCUGAUCAAUCCAAGUCAACGUCGAACGUAUCUAACUUGUCCUCCUCAAUCUUGGAAUGGAGACAAGAUAUAUCAAUUUUAAAUUUAAGGAUCCAUUCAAAUUUGUUACAAGCAUAUUUAAAAUUUGGAUACCGUUAGCGCUGCGAUUCGCGAAACGCACGCGUUUCAAAUGAGUCUCUGAUGAAUUUAUGACCGGUUCCACGGCGCGAAAAGGCUUUCGAUGCGCGUGCACGUACUCGAUCAACGACAUUCUUUCCCAUGCCGUGUCUUCCGUGGAGGAUACGAAGGACGAAGCCACGUCGAGGGAUCGUCGAUGGCCGAUGCUCCUCGAAGCCUUUUUCUCCUGAUUGCGGUUUCCAGACCGAGGCAUCAUCGUUCCAAACUUAUCCGUUGCGUAAUUCCGCGCCUUGGACGAUGAUUUUCAAAAUUAUGGGAUACAAGCUUCAUACUAUUAUUUUUCUUUUUAAGAUAAGCAUAUGAUUUUUUUUGACUCGAUAAUCAAACUCGUCGAAAUU
rnacentral:lncRNA from 1 species